rnacentral:rRNA from 1 species
CUUGAAACCCAUAAGAGGUCCAGCCUGCCCAGUGACCCUGUUCAACGGCCGCGGUAUCCUAACCGUGCGAAGGUAGCGUAAUCAUUUGUUCUUUAAAUGAGGACUAGUAUGAAUGGCACCACGAGGGUUAUACUGUCUCCUUCCUCUAAUCAGUGAAACUAAUCUCCCCGUGAAGAAGCGGGGAUAAUCCUAUAAGACGAGAAGACCCUAUGGAGCUUUAAACACAGUAAUAAAUGCCCCCCCCCUUUUAUUCAAAUCUCCGGAAAACUACUUUAUCUGAGCAUCCUAAUUACAAGUUUUAGGUUGGGGUGACCGCGGAGUAAAAAAUAACCUCCACAGUGAAUGGGAUCUUUUUCCUAAACUCAGGGCCACAGCCCUAAAAAUCAAUAAAUUGACACCCAUUGACCCAAUAUUUUGAUCAAUGAAC